GGAAUCUGGGAGGACCAUCUCCUAAGGCUAAAUACUCUCUAGUGACCGAUAGUGAACCAGUACCGUGAGGGAAAGGUGAAAAGCACCCCGGAAGGGGAGUGAAAUAGAACCUGAAACCGUGUGCUUACAAGUAGUCAGAGCCCGUUAAUGGGUGAUGGCGUGCCUUUUGUAGAAUGAACCGGCGAGUUACGAUUUGUUGCAAAGUUAAAAAAUAAGUGUGGAGCCGUAGCGAAAGCGAGUCUGAAUAGGGCGUUUAGUAUUUGGUCGUAGACCCGAAACCAGGUGAUCUACCCUUGGUCAGGUUGAAGUUCAGGUAACACUGAAUGGAGGACCGAACCGACUUACGUUGAAAAGUGAGCGGAUGAACUGAGGGUAGCGGAGAAAUUCCAAUCGAACCUGGAGAUAGCUGGUUCUCUCCGAAAUAGCUUUAGGGCUAGCCUCAAGUGAUGAUUAUUGGAGGUAGAGCACUGUUUGGACGAGGGGCCCCUCUCGGGUUACCGAAUUCAGACAAACUCCGAAUGCCAAUUAAUUUAACUUGGGAGUCAGAACAUGGGUGAUAAGGUCCGUGUUCGAAAGGGAAACAGCCCAGACCACCAGCUAAGGUCCCAAAAUAUAUGUUAAGUGGAAAAGGAUGUGGCGUUGCCCAGACAACUAGGAUGUUGGCUUAGAAGCAGCCAUCAUUUAAAGAGUGCGUAAUAGCUCACUAGUCGAGUGACACUGCGCCGAAAAUGUACCGGGGCUAAACAUAUUACCGAAGCUGUGGAUUGUCCUUUGGACAAUGGUAGGAGAGCGUUCUAAGGGCGUUGAAGCAUGAUCGUAAGGACAUGUGGAGCGCUUAGAAGUGAGAAUGCCGGUGUGAGUAGCGAAAGACGGGUGAGAAUCCCGUCCACCGAUUGACUAAGGUUUCCAGAGGAAGGCUCGUCCGCUCUGGGUUAGUCGGGUCCUAAGCUGAGGCCGACAGGCGUAGGCGAUGGAUAACAGGUUGAUAUUCCUGUACCACCUAUAAUCGUUUUAAUCGAUGGGGGGACGCAGUAGGAUAGGCGAAGCGUGCGAUUGGAUUGCACGUCUAAGCAGUAAGGCUGAGUAUUAGGCAAAUCCGGUACUCGUUAAGGCUGAGCUGUGAUGGGGAGAAGACAUUGAGUCUUCGAGUCGUUGAUUUCACACUGCCGAGAAAAGCCUCUAGAUAGAAAAUAGGUGCCCGUACCGCAAACCGACACAGGUAGUCAAGAUGAGAAUUCUAAGGUGAGCGAGCGAACUCUCGUUAAGGAACUCGGCAAAAUGACCCCGUAACUUCGGGAGAAGGGGUGCUCUUUAGGGUUAACGCCCAGAAGAGCCGCAGUGAAUAGGCCCAAGCGACUGUUUAUCAAAAACACAGGUCUCUGCUAAACCGUAAGGUGAUGUAUAGGGGCUGACGCCUGCCCGGUGCUGGAAGGUUAAGAGGAGUGGUUAGCUUCUGCGAAGCUACGAAUCGAAGCCCCAGUAAACGGCGGCCGUAACUAUAACGGUCCUAAGGUAGCGAAAUUCCUUGUCGGGUAAGUUCCGACCCGCACGAAAGGCGUAACGAUUUGGGCACUGUCUCAACGAGAGACUCGGUGAAAUCAUAGUACCUGUGAAGAUGCAGGUUACCCGCGACAGGACGGAAAGACCCCGUGGAGCUUUACUGUAGCCUGAUAUUGAAAUUCGGCACAGCUUGUACAGGAUAGGUAGGAGCCUUUGAAACGUGAGCGCUAGCUUACGUGGAGGCGCUGGUGGGAUACUACCCUAGCUGUGUUGGCUUUCUAACCCGCACCACUUAUCGUGGUGGGAGACAGUGUCAAGCGGGCAGUUUGACUGGGGCGGUCGCCUCCUAAAAGGUAACGGAGGCGCUCAAAGGUUCCCUCAGAAUGGUUGGAAAUCAUUCAUAGAGUGUAAAGGCAUAAGGGAGCUUGACUGCGAGACCUACAAGUCGAGCAGGGUCGAAAGACGGACUUAGUGAUCCGGUGGUUCCGCAUGGAAGGGCCAUCGCUCAACGGAUAAAAGCUACCCCGGGGAUAACAGGCUUAUCUCCCCCAAGAGUUCACAUCGACGGGGAGGUUUGGCACCUCGAUGUCGGCUCAUCGCAUCCUGGGGCUGUAGUCGGUCCCAAGGGUUGGGCUGUUCGCCCAUUAAAGCGGUACGCGAGCUGGGUUCAGAACGUCGUGAGACAGUUCGGUCCCUAUCCGUCGUGGGCGUAGGAAAUUUGAGAGGAGCUGUCCUUAGUACGAGAGGACCGGGAUGGACAUACCUCUGGUGUACCAGUUGUCGUGCCAACGGCAUAGCUGGGUAGCUAUGUGUGGACGGGAUAAGUGCUGAAAGCAUCUAAGCAUGAAGCCCCCCUCAAGAUGAGAUUUCCCAACUUCGGUUAUAAGAUCCCUCAAAGAUGAUGAGGUUAAUAGGUUCGAGGUGGAAGCAUGGUGACAUGUGGAGCUGACGAAUACUAAUCGAUCGAAGACUUAAUCAA
rnacentral:rRNA from 1 species